UAACAUGUAGCUCAGUGGUAGAGUUCUUGCCUAAAAUGUAUGAGGUCCUGGGUUUGGUUCCUAGCAUUAA
rnacentral:tRNA from 1 species